CCUACGGGUGGCAGCAGUGGGGAAUAUUGCACAAUGGGGGAAACCCUGAUGCAGCGACGCCGCGUGAGUGAAGAAGUAUUUCGGUAUGUAAAGCUCUAUCAGCAGGGAAGAAAAUGACGGUACCUGACUAAGAAGCCCCGGCUAACUACGUGCCAGCAGCCGCGGUAAUACGUAGGGGGCAAGCGUUAUCCGGAUUUACUGGGUGUAAAGGGAGCGUAGACGGCAGUACAAGUCUGGAGUGAAAGGCCGGGGCUUAACCCCGGGACUGCUUUGGAAACUGUGCAGCUAGAGUACAGGAGAGGUAAGUGGAAUUCCUAGUGUAGCGGUGAAAUGCGUAGAUAUUAGGAGGAACACCAGUGGCGAAGGCGGCUUACUGGACUGUAACUGACGUUGAGGCUCGAAAGCGUGGGGAGCAAACAGGAUUAGAUACCCUUGUAGUC
rnacentral:rRNA from 1 species